CGUUGGCUCGACUGAUGAAGAUGUUGAUAAGCCCGAUAGAAAUGGUCGAACCCGCAAAAAUAAGAAAAGUAAAGAUGGAACAAAUAAUGAUGACAUAGAUGUAGAAGGAGUUCCAAACUCCAGGGAUAUAUUACAAGGAACCGGAAGUACUGGCGGAACUACAAGUAGCAUGGGCAAUGGUUCACCAGAAACACCGGUUAUUGAAGUCGUUCCACAGAUCAAAGAUAUAUUACAAGGAACGAAAAGUGCUGGUGGAACGUCAAGCAGUAUCGGAAAUGGUCCACCUGAAACAGCAAUUAUCGUUUUUUCAGAAGAUGGAAUUUGCAUAUACGGUCAAGCCGGAUUCUGCGACAGCUUGUCAAAAUGUUCUAAUGG